AUGAUAUGGAGCUGGAUUGUGUUCUUACUGGAAGUAGCAGUUGCCAUUGUCCACUCCCAGGUCCAGCUGCAGCAGUCUGGGGCUGAGGUGUCGAGGCCUGGGGCAUCAGUGAAGGUGUCUUGCAGGGCUUCUGGCUACACCUUCACUAGCUACUAUGUGGAAUGGGUGAAGCAGAAAAACAGACAGGGACUGGAAUGGAUUGGAAGAAUUUAUCCUGGAAAUGGUAAUACUGACUACGCCCAGAAGUUCAAUGGCAAGGCCACACUGACUACAGACACAUCCUCUAGCACAGCCUUCUUGGAGCUCAGAAGCCUGACAUCUGAGGACACGGCUGUCUAUUACUGUGCAAGACACAGUGGUGUGACCACAUCCUGA